rnacentral:rRNA from 1 species
GGGGGGGGGGGGCGGGGGGCGGGGGGGGGGCGGGGCGGGCGGGGGGGCGCGGCGGGGGUGGGGGGCUCGGGUGGCGAACGGGUGAGUAACACGUGAGUAACCUGCCCUUGACUUUGGGAUAACUUCAGGAAACUGGGGCUAAUACCGGAUAGGAGCUCCUGCUGCAUGGUGGGGGUUGGAAAGUUUCGGCGGUUGGGGAUGGACUCGCGGCUUAUCAGCUUGUUGGUGGGGUAGUGGCUUACCAAGGCUUUGACGGGUAGCCGGCCUGAGAGGGUGACCGGCCACAUUGGGACUGAGAUACGGCCCAGACUCCUACGGGAGGCAGCAGUGGGGAAUAUUGCACAAUGGGCGGAAGCCUGAUGCAGCAACGCCGCGUGCGGGAUGACGGCCUUCGGGUUGUAAACCGCUUUCGCCUGUGACGAAGCGUGAGUGACGGUAAUGGGUAAAGAAGCACCGGCUAACUACGUG